UACGGAGGGUGCAAGCGUUAUCCGGAUUCACUGGGUUUAAAGGGUGCGUAGGUGGGCUGGUAAGUCAGUGGUGAAAUCUCCGGGCUUAACUCGGAAACUGCCAUUGAUACCAUCAGUCUUGAAUACCGUGGAGGUCAGUAGAAUAUGUCAUGUAGCGGUGAAAUGCUUAGAUAUGACAUAGAAUACCAAUUGCGAAGGCAGCUGGCUACACGAAUAUUGACACUCAGGCACGAAAGCGUGGGGAUCAAACAGG
rnacentral:rRNA from 1 species